GCGCAGGAACUUCAGCUCCCACACGCAAUCUUUCCCCCUCCCUCCCCUCCCUCUCCACGGCACCCGUCAAGGCAAUACUCAGCUCACUAGCAGGCCACCGUGACGAGCCGGUGUUCAUUAAACAGAUCACGGCGGGGCUGAACCCUUCUCAGCAAAAUCUAUUCCGAAAGCUCCACAAGCCCUCAGCAGCCAGUGAGAACUGUCCGGACCUGCUUCCCACCCCAGACAGGGCAGGAGCGUGUCCACGGUCUGCCCUUCGUCCUCCCCUCUCUUGUGGAUCCAAGAACCAUUGUUGAUUUUUCAGCCUGUUCAGUUCUUUGCUUGUUGUUAGGACGGAGCAGAGACGUCCAAACUCCUUACACGCAGUACGGGAAAGUGUCGUAAGCACUUCACGGUAUACCCGUUACACUCAACGUAAAGCAUUUGAAUUGAGAAAAAAGAUACGCCUCUAGUAUUUUACUGGACAAACACUGUGGUUCUUUUCAGAUGUGUAUUUUGUCACUCUUUCAAGCAGACUUUUUGAAUUUUGCUUAUAACCAUAACGUCCACUCUCCUUCCCCAGCUGACUGUCUGGAGAUUUUCUUCUUUCCCCUUCCUGGGUUUUAAAAAGCCCCCUCCUCUACUGGCCACGAGCCAUUUCCUGGAAAGGGUCCUCAUUUAUACCCACAGGGAUAAAAAAGCCUGUCCUUUCCAUCCUUAAGGAAUAGACAUGUGACAGUCACCGAGUUGCCACCUCCUGAGGCUCUCUUCCUUCCCGCAUGCAGAUUCUCAGUAAAUGGCAAAACUUAACUUUAAAUUCUGCACCUGUGGUCUUUUGGUUUGGGGCAACAUUUUAAGAUAAUUGUGGCAGAAUGUGGCACAACACGGAGCCCGAUGACGGUGGCAGAGGAUGGCUGGAUGAGGCCCCAGUGCACACGUGGGGAGACCUACUAAUGUCCCACUCUCCAGGCAUCUUCCGUGCCUCCCUUCUGCUGCCUGGGAUGCUGCGGUUCUGCCCCACCCUCCGGUGGUUUUACUUCAAAAAGCUUUGCCACAUAAGACCCUGCUCAGCACCCCCACUCUCCAGAACCUGCCGCCUGCUAACAUGGGCAUGAAAAACCGAAGCUGAGUCUUCUUAGUACCUUCAGCGCCACCCCAGCUACUGCAGAAGAGGUCUCUGCCAAACCCCC